rnacentral:rRNA from 1 species
GGAGGGUGCGAGCGUUGUUCGGAUUUAUUGGGCGUAAAGCGCGUGUAGGCGGCUCCUUAAGUCUGAUGUGAAAGCCCUGGGCUCAACCCGGGAAGUGCAUUGGAAACUGGGGAACUUGAAUACGGGAGAGGGUAGUGGAAUUCCUGGUGUAGGAGUGAAAUCCGUAGAUAUCAGGAGGAACACCGGUGGCGAAGGCGGCUACCUGGACCGAUAUUGACGCUGAGACGCGAAAGCGUGGGGAGCAAACAGGAUUAGAUACCCUGGUAGUCCACGCCGUAAACGAUGAGUACUUAGGUGUUGCGGGUAUUGACCCCUGCAGUGCCGCAGCUAACGCAUUAAGUACUCCGCCUGGGAAGUACGGUCGCAAGACUA